UCCACGCCGUGGAUCCUGGCAAGGACGUGGCUCAUGGCGCGGUACCGGGCCUGGCGCUGGUGGGGCGGCAGCGCCGGCAGGGACACGUUGCGGUGGACACGGCCAGGGCAGAGCUCCAUCACGUAGAAAGGUGAGCCAAGGGUGCUGGGGAAGCAAGGGGGGGACUGAUGGGACUGAGUUCAUCCUGCUACUGCCACCCCUCAAAGCUCACCCGCCCCCUGAACAUGGACAGGGGAAGAGCAGCCUCAGCAGCACCUGAGCACUCACCUGAGCCCCACCCAGGCUGGUGUGUGGUGGCACAGGGCUGUGCCAUGAUCAGCCCUGGUCCCUCCAGCCCCUGGAAGCUGAGCUUAGAGGCUCCAGCAGCAGCCCUUUCCCUGCCUCCCUGCAGUGGGUGUGGAGCUGGGCUGUCAGGCUGCGCACAAACACCAGGAGUGCUGGACACACAUUUAACUGCAGUGCAGAGACUGCUCCUGCAGCCAGCAGAGAUCUGAGCUGCCUGCAGGCUAUGAGGGGUGUCCUGGUCACAGAUUUGCUGCUGUCAUGGCUGUCUGAGGUCUGGCAGUUUGAAAAAACCCCUCUUCAUUGCAAACCUGAGCACACUGAGUCAGCAGGAAGCCCUACAACAUUGUUUUAUAACUGCUUCUCAGAGGGAGCAUUUUGAUUAAUUGCUAAAACAGGACACACCUAAACCAAGCCAAAUAAAAGUGUUUCUGUCCUUUGAACCUCUAGAGGCUCCUCCAGCCCCAGACAUGGCAAAUGUUAACUACACCAAUGCACUCUGUGAGCUCUGGCUCCUUCUCUCCUCUCCUCAUGUUUGGGGGAAUUUGGGUGCAGUUGUCAAGCACAGAGCAAAAGCUGGGAUCAGGAACAUGAUCCCAGGGCCAGGAUUACCUGCUGUCCUCGCAGAGAGCAAGUACAGUGGGAACAGGAACACCAGCCUCAGAGAGAGCCUUCAGGAGCCUGCCAGGUUAUAAAACAAGCUUUAAACUUCUGAAAUUCAAAGAUUUGAGCGGGGCACACAAAAAAAGCAGAUUUUCUGUCAUGCUGAGCCAAGUCCUCGUGUGCAAAUGAUGCCACUGGAACCAGCCUUGAGGUUCAUAGAGAAUCUUCUGUGUCAUCUCUGCAAAGCUUCCAAGUCCUGUAUUGAAAUCACUGCCUGUGCCUGUUACAGAGACU